AUUGAACGCUGGCGGCAUGCUUUACACAUGCAAGUCGAACGGCAGCACGGGUGCUUGCACCUGGUGGCGAGUGGCGAACGGGUGAGUAAUGCAUCGGAACGUAUCCAAUAAUGGGGGAUAACGCAUCGAAAGGUGUGCUAAUACCGCAUACGCCCUGAGGGGGAAAGUGGGGGAUCGGAAGACCUCACGUUGAUGGAGCGGCCGAUGUCAGAUUAGCUAGUUAGUGAGGUAAAGGCUCACCAAGGCGACGAUCUGUAGCUGGUCUGAGAGGACGACCAGCCACACUGGAACUGAGACACGGUCCAGACUCCUACGGGAGGCAGCAGUGGGGAAUUUUGGACAAUGGGCGCAAGCCUGAUCCAGCCAUGCCGCGUGAGUGAAGAAGGCCUUCGGGUUGUAAAGCUCUUUCGCAAGGGAAGAAACGAUUCAGGAUAAUACCCUGGGUUAAUGACGGUACCUUGAUAAGAAGCACCGGCUAACUACGUGCCAGCCGCCGCGGUAA
rnacentral:rRNA from 1 species